rnacentral:rRNA from 1 species
UACCAGCACCCCGAGUGGUCGGGACGUUUAUUGGGCCUAAAGCAUCCGUAGCCGGUUCUACAAGUCUUCCGUUAAAUCCACCUGCUUAACAGAUGGGCUGCGGAAGAUACUAUAGAGCUAGGAGGCGGGAGAGGCAAGCGGUACUCGAUGGGUAGGGGUAAAAUCCGUUGAUCCAUUGAAGACCACCAGUGGCGAAGGCGGCUCUCUGGGCAGAUACUGACGCUGAGACGCGAAAGCGUGGGUAGCAAACAGG